UGGUGGUAAUUUUUGACUGUAACUUUACAAACGGCACCACAUACGUUAGUUUGGAUAUAUUUAUUUAGACUUGUACCUCUCCAGACAAGAAGCAGGUUGGGUUUAUUGUUACAUUUGACAGCUGUUGCUUCAUCUUUACUCUGAGGAAGAAUCAAUAUUUCUGUACUCUAAGGCGUCAGAAUGAGAUGAAUGAGUUCUGGAGUAAUUUGUGUUUAUUUAAUCUUUAAUUGUAGGAUUUAAAGGAGCCACCGCCUCCUGUGUCAUCACAUCAGACUCUGGCCUACAUCGGUCCAGACGUCAGCCUCAAGUUUACGUUCAGCUCCUGCAGCUGAAACACGUCGACCUGCCCGGCCUGUUUUCAGCCUCCGGGCCUCGUGACCCGGACACAUGGAAAUCAGGAAAGUUCAGGCUGAGCAAAGAAACGUAUUCAAAUAAAGCCGAGCGUGACGCUCCUGCAGCUCUCAGAUUACGGACACCGAGCGCCGAGUCACGCCGGCAGUUUCUGAAAAGUUCCGUUCUCUGCGACACAGAAACGUCCAACCUGUUCCUCCUGCAGCUCAUUGUCAUGCAGCCAACAGGAGGGAGAUAACCAGGCCUGUGAUGUCAUCAUCCAGCCCUCUGAUUGGCUGAUGACAGAUGAGUUUUCUCAGGAAAUUUCUGAUGAAGAAAGGCAUUUAUCUAAAUUACUUCCUGAAAACAGAUCUGACGUUUGAUCUCAUUUGGCUCCCAUUAAUCAUUCAUACAGAAAAUAAACACUUCUAAAAAGUC